GAUGAACGCUAGCGAUAGGCUUAACACAUGCAAGUAGAGGGAACGGCGCACGGGUGCGUAACGCGAAUGCAACUUGCCUCACCGAGGGGGAUAACCCGGCGAAAGAAGGACUAAUACCGCGUACUGUGAGAUAGGCAUGCGUCCCAUUAGCUAGUUUGUGAGGUAACGGUUCACCAUGGCAACGAUGGGUAGGGGACAUGGGAGGGUUGACUCCCACACGGGUACUGAGACACGGACCAGACUCCGACGGUAGGCAGCAGGGAGGAAUAUGGGUCAAUGGGCGAGAGCCUGAACCAGCCAAGUCGCGUGAAGGAUGACUGCUUAUGGAUUGUAAACUUCUUUUGUAGGGGAAGCUGUACCCAACGAAUAAGCAUCGGCUAACUCCGGGCCAGCAGCCGCGGUAAUAC
rnacentral:rRNA from 1 species